UUGAGGAAAUAUGAAAAUUCAGUUAACAAAACGUAGUUUAAAGAAAUGUAAAUUUACUUUAAGUAAUUAUUAACAAAUUAUUAAUAAGAAAUAAUGCGAAAGUAAUGAUUUUUAUUUUUAUACUUAAAAAUAUAUUAUAUCUUAUAAGAUUUUUAAGAAAAUUUUGUAGUAAUCAAACUACCAAAACUGAAACGGUAUUUUUACGACACACAAAUAGUUAGGAUUGUUGGCAACACACUCCGUGACUCCUUUAAGACUGUAUCGGGUAUAUUAAAAUAAACUUUAUUUACUGCGAAGGCGAUGAGGGCUGUUGUGGACGUGGUUAUUUUGAUGUCUUAUAAAUGAAAAGCUAAUUUUCGUCCUGAUUGCGUCUCGAUGACUGAUGCUAACUGCUGAGUAGAUGCCAACUCGCCUAUUGCCCUGACUCACCUGCCAUCAAAAGACGACGAGACGAAACCUCUUGGUAUUCAAUGGAUUCACCGUGCGGAUGCCGGGAUCAUCGCGUUGCAGGGAGAGGAGCUUCAACAGCGCCUGGG